CCUACGGGUGGCAGCAGUAGGGAAUCUUUCACAAUGGGCGAAACCCUGAUGGAGCAACGCCGCGUGCAGGAUGAAGGCCUUCGGGUUGUAAACUGCUUUUAUAAGCGAGAAAUAUGAUGGUAACUAAUGAAUAAGGAUCGGCUAACUCCGUGCCAGCAGCCGCGGUCAUACGUAGGAGCCGAGCAUUAUCCGGAGUAACUGGGUGUACAGAGUGCGGUGGGUGGCAAAAGAAGUAGCUAGGAAAAUCUGGUGGUUCAACCAUUCAGACUGUUUGCGAAACUGUUAAGCUCGAGCACGUUAGGGGUAACUGGAAUUUUUGGUGUAGGGGUGAAAUCCGUAGAUAUUAGAAAGAACACUAAUAGCGUAGGCAGGUUACUGGGACAGUUCUGACACUAAGGCACGAAAGCGUAGGGAGCAAACGGGAUUAGAUACCCUAGUAGUC
rnacentral:rRNA from 1 species